rnacentral:rRNA from 1 species
UACGUAGGGCGCGAGCGUUGUCCGGAUUUAUUGGGCGUAAAGAGCUCGUAGGCGGCUCGUUGCGUCAACCGUGAAAACCCGGGGCUUAACUUCGGGCUUGCGGUUGAUACGGGCGGGCUGGAGUUCGGUAGGGGAGACUGGAAUUCCUGGUGUAGCAGUGAAAUGCGUAGAUAUCAGGAGGAAUACCGAUGGCGAAGGCAGGUCUCUGGGCUGACACUGACGCUCAUGCACGAAAGCGUGGGGAGCAAACAGG